GCUUGUCUCAAAGAUUAAGCCAUGCAUGUCUAAGUAUAAGCAACUUGUACUGUGAAACUGCGAAUGGCUCAUUAAAUCAGUUAUCGUUUAUUUGAUAGUACCUUACUACAUGGAUACCUGUGGUAAUUCUAGAGCUAAUACAUGCUAAAAACCCCGACUUCAGGAAGGGGUGUAUUUAUUAGAUAAAAAACCAACGCCCUUCGGGGCUCCUUGGUGAAUCAUAAUAACUUUGGGCUGAUCGUAUGGCCUUGUGCCGACGACGUUUCCUUCGAAGGUGUGCCCUAUCAACUGUCGACUGUGAUAUAGACGCUCACAGUGGUUUUGACGGGUAACGGGGAAUCAGGGUUCGAUUCCGGAGAGGGAGCCUUAAAAACGGCUACCACAUCCAAGGAAGGCAGCAGG
rnacentral:rRNA from 1 species